rfam:Clostridium pasteurianum DSM 525 = ATCC 6013, complete genome.
CGGGUAGUAUCUUAAAGAACUGCACCAAAAGUGUUAUUAAUUUUAAACUUUCUGCUCAUAUCCUCUGAAUGAGACAGCUAA